rnacentral:rRNA from 1 species
AAAUUGAAGAGUUUGAUCAUGGCUCAGAUUGAACGCUGGCGGCAGGCCUAACACAUGCAAGUCGAACGGUAACAGGAAGCAGCUUGCUGCUUCGCUGACGAGUGGCGGACGGGUGAGUAAUGUCUGGGAAACUGCCUGAUGGAGGGGGAUAACUACUGGAAACGGUGGCUAAUACCGCAUAACGUCGCAAGACCAAAGAGGGGGACCUUCGGGCCUCUUGCCAUCAGAUGUGCCCAGAUGGGAUUAGCUAGUUGGUGAGGUAACGGCUCACCAAGGCGACGAUCCCUAGCUGGUCUGAGAGGAUGACCAGCCACACUGGAACUGAGACACGGUCCAGACUCCUACGGGAGGCAGCAGUGGGGAAUAUUGCACAAUGGGCGCAAGCCUGAUGCAGCCAUGCCGCGUGUAUGAAGAAGGCCUUCGGGUUGUAAAGUACUUUCAGCGGGGAGGAAGGUGUUGUGGUUAAUAACCGCAGCAAUUGACGUUACCCG